rnacentral:rRNA from 1 species
GAGCGGAUGAGUGGAGCUUGCUCCAUGAUUCAGCGGCGGACGGGUGAGUAAUGCCUAGGAAUCUGCCUGGUAGUGGGGGACAACGUUUCGAAAGGAACGCUAAUACCGCAUACGUCCUACGGGAGAAAGUGGGGGAUCUUCGGACCUCACGCUAUCAGAUGAGCCUAGGUCGGAUUAGCUAGUUGGUGAGGUAAAGGCUCACCAAGGCGACGAUCCGUAACUGGUCUGAGAGGAUGAUCAGUCACACUGGAACUGAGACACGGUCCAGACUCCUACGGGAGGCAGCAGUGGGGAAUAUUGGACAAUGGGCGAAAGCCUGAUCCAGCCAUGCCGCGUGUGUGAAGAAGGUCUUCGGAUUGUAAAGCACUUUAAGUUGGGAGGAAGGGCAGUAAGUUAAUACCUUGCUGUUUUGACGUUACCAACAGAAUAAGCACCGGCUAACUUCGUGCCAGCAGCCGCGGUAAUACGAAGGGUGCAAGCGUUAAUCGGAAUUACUGGGCGUAAAGCGCGCGUAGGUGGUUCGUUAAGUUGGAUGUGAAAGCCCCGGGCUCAACCUGGGAACUGCAUCCAAACUGGCGAGCUAGAGUAUGGCAGAGGGUGGUGGAAUUUCCUGUGUAGCGGUGAAUGCGUAGAUAUAGGAAGGAACACCAGUGGCGAA